GCUGCACACACAGUGCCAGCAGAGUGGCUGGCCCGAGCGGGGGCAGGUCCCCUGCUCCCGAGGCUGCAGCUCGCACGAUCUCGCCCAACAGCGCCUCUUCCUCUCGUGGUCUGAACCGCAGCACCGGCUCGCGGCCAUCCAGUGACACUCGAAUAUGUAAUACACAGAAACAUGGCCGAUGGUGCAGCUAUGCCGUGCCAGCUACUCGGGAGGCUGAUGCAGCAGGAUCUGCCCCGAUCUCCUGUAUCUACAUAAAACGGCUGCAAGAACGAUUCCGAAGUCCACUGCCUGUCUAGAACCCAGCAAUGAGGGUUGGGAGCUUUGCUCCCGGAUAAAGCACCUGCUUAGCUCAUGUGAGGGCCUGGGUUCAAUCCUCAAAACUACAAACAAAAAAAUGCACUCAGGUUUCAGUGCCUCCUGGCCUCCAUAAACAAGCGGUCAGGUGGUUCCCACGUGAACCUUUAUAGAUGGAUUAGUCUAUUUCUCCCAUCAAGAAAGCCGCCAUUUCCAGAACAAGGAUCUAGGUACCAAACAAAGAUUUCCCUGACCUAGGACACAGACUUUCCUUCAAGAAACGGAUGUUAGCUAGGGAUGUCCUUCUGACAAUGGGCUGGCCUCUGACCAAGACCAUGUUUUCUUCCAACUCUGAAUGGAAGGAAACAUUCACUGUAACCCGCCCCCCUCCCCCUGCCCC
ensembl:antisense